GAUUCUGGGCGUAAGCGGGCGCAGACGGUUACUUAAGCAGGAUGUGAAAUCCCCGGGCUCAACCUGGGAACUGCGUUCUGAACUGGGUGACUAGAGUGUGUCAGAGGGAGGUAGAAUUCCACGUGUAGCAGUGAAAUGCGUAGAGAUGUGGAGGAAUACCGAUGGCGAAGGCAGCCUCCUGGGAUAACACUGACGUUCAUGCCCGAAAGCGUGGGUAGCAAACAGGAUUAGAUACCCUGGUAGUCCACGCCCUAAACGAUGUCGAUUAGCUGUUGGGCAGCAUGACUGCUUAGUAGCGAAGCUAACGCGUGAAAUCGACCGCCUGGGGAGUACGGUCGCAAGAUUAAAACUCAAAGGAAUUGACGGGGACCCGCACAAGCGGUGGAUGAUGUGGAUUAAUUCGAUGCAACGCGAAGAACCUUACCUGGUCUUGACAUGUACGGAAUCCUCCAGAGACGGAGGAGUGCCUUCGGGAGCCGUAACACAGGUGCUGCAUGGCUGUCGUCAGCUCGUGUCGUGAGAUGUUGGGUUAAGUCCCGCAACGAGCGCAACCCUUGUCAUUAGUUGCCAUCAUUAAGUUGGGCACUCUAAUGAGACUGCCGGUGACAAGCCGGAGGAAGGUGGGGAUGACGUCAAGUCCUCAUGGCCCUUAUGACCAGGGCUUCACACGUCAUACAAUGGUCGGUACAGAGGGUAGCCAAGCCGCGAGGUGGAGCCAAUCUCACAAAACCGAUCGUAGUCCGGAUUGCACUCUGCAACUCGAGUGCAUGAAGUCGGAAUCGCUAGUAAUCGCAGGUCAGCAUACUGCGGUGAAUACGUUCCCGGGUCUUGUACACACCGCCCGUCACACCAUGGGAGUGGGGGAUACCAGAAGUAGGUAGGGUAACCGCAAGGAGCCCGCUUACCACGGUAUGCUUCAUGACUGGGGUGAAGCUAGAGAGGGAAC
rnacentral:rRNA from 1 species